rnacentral:misc_RNA from 1 species
GAUGAAGAACGUAGCGAAAUGCGAUAAGUAAUGUGAAUUGCAGAAUUCAGUGAAUCAUCGAAUCUUUGAACGCACAUUGCGCCCGCCAGUAUUCUGGCGGGCAUGCCUGUUCGAGCGUCAUUUCAACCAUCAAGCCCUGCUUGCGUUGGGGUCCUGCGGCUGCCCGCAGGCCCUGAAAACCAGUGGCGGGCUCGCUAGUCACACCGAGCGCAGUAAUACAUCUCGCUUUGGGCGUGCGGCGGGUUCUUGCCGUUAAACACCCCCUUUUUACCAAGGUUGACCUCGGAUCAGGUAGGAAUACCCGCUGAACUUAAGCAUAACAAUAAGCGGAGGA